rnacentral:tRNA from 1 species
UCCCUGGUGGCUCAGUUGGUAAAGAAUCUGCCUGCAGUGCAGGAGACCUGGGUUUGAUUCCUGGGUUGGGAA